ensembl:misc_RNA 7SK 7SK RNA
GGACGUGAGGGCCAUCUGGCUGUGGCAAUGUCACCUCAUUGAUCAACAUGGCUAAUUCAGCUGAUCUGAAUGGCUAGGUGGGUGUCCCCCUCCUCCCUCACCACUUCAUGUCCAUCCCUCCUGAAGUUGGGCACUUGGUCAAAGAGGACAACCUUCCCUGAAUGGAGGAGGAUGGGUCAAGGGUAAACUAGCAGCUGCGCGGCCCUGCGAGAACCUCCAAACAAGCUCCCAAGGUCCAUCAGGUCAAACUACAAAUGCAACACUGGGGACAGAUUUCUCAGGCAAAGAAAGCUGUUUUUAAGAG